CAUGACAGAAACACACAUGAAACAGAACCAAACAAAACACAAAACCAUGACAUUUCUGGAGUGAACGUGAUGAUGACGAGCAGAAGUAAGUGUCACCCCUGUUCAUCGUAAACAUCCAAAAGAAUUUAUUCUGUCUCCACCACCGAGCGCACACACAGCUCUGCUGAGCAUGGACGAUGUGAGGGGACUCCCCCCCCCCCCCCCAACUCAGGAUGUUGAGGAUACAAUAAGGACACAGUGGAUGCCCUGCAGGCCUUGGCAUGCCCUUCAUUGCUGUGCCACCAUAAAUCAACCAUCACUUCACCACAUACUUCACAUGGUAGUGAUACUGUUUACAAGUUUAUGAACAGAUAUAAAGUUUUGUUACAAGGCCUCAGUUCCAUGGAGUUUUAUGUUUGUUCCUUAGAAAUGCAGUGUGUUUAUUUACUGCUGUCAA